rnacentral:rRNA from 1 species
ACGGGAGGCAGCAGUGGGGAAUAUUGGGCAAUGGGCGAAAGCCUGACCCAGCAACGCCGCGUGAAGGAAGAAGGUUUUCGGAUUGUAAACUUCUUUUAUCAGGGACGAAGAAAGUGACGGUACCUGAUGAAUAAGCCACGGCUAACUACGUGCCAGCAGCCGCGGUAAUACGUAGGUGGCAAGCGUUGUCCGGAUUUACUGGGUGUAAAGGGAGCGCAGGCGGGAGAUCAAGUCAGUGGUGAAAUGCAUGGGCUUAACCCAUGAACUGCCAUUGAAACUGACCUUCUUGAGUGAAGUAGAGGCAAGCGGAAUUCCGAGUGUAGCGGUGAAAUGCGUAGAUAUUCGGAGGAACACCAGUGGCGAAGGCGGCUUGCUGGGCUUUUACUGACGCUGAGGCUCGAAAGUGUGGGGAGCAAACAGGAUUAGAUACCCUGGUA